AUUGAACGCUGGCGGCAGGCCUAACACCUGCAAGUCGAGCGAGCGGCGGACGGGUGAGUAAUGUAUGGGGACCGCUCGAUAGCGGGGGAUAACCACUGGAAACGGUAGCUAAUACUGCAUACUAUCCGAUACCCUAUAUGGGGUUAGCUAUUCGGUGAGGUAAUGGCCCACCUAGGCGGCGAUCCCUAGCUGGUCUGAGAGGAUGAUCAGCCACACUGGAACUGAGACACGGCCCAGACUCCUACGGGGGCAGCGGUGGGGAAUAUUGCACAAUGGGCGCAAGCCUGAUGCAGCCAUGCCGCGUGUAUGAAGAAGGCCCUAGGGUUGUAAAGUACUUUCGGUCGGGAGGCGUUACCGACAGAGGAAGCACCGGCUAACUCCGUGCCAGCAGCCGCGGUAAUUC
rnacentral:rRNA from 1 species